rnacentral:rRNA from 1 species
UACGUAGGGCGCAAGCGUUGUCCGGAAUUAUUGGGCGUAAAGAGCUCGUAGGUGGCUUGUUGCGUCUGCCGUGAAAGCCCGUGGCUUAACUACGGGUCUGCGGUGGAUACGGGCAGGCUAGAGGCUGGUAGGGGCAAGCGGAAUUCCUGGUGUAGCGGUGGAAUGCGCAGAUAUCAGGAAGAACACCAACGGCGAAGGCAGCUCGCUGGGACGGUACUGACGCUGAGACGCGAAAGCGUGGGGAGCGAACAGG